UAGGGAAUCUUCCGCAAUGGACGCAAGUCUGACGGAGCAACGCCGCGUGAGUGAAGAAGGAUUUCGGUUCGUAAAACUCUGUUGUUAGAGAAGAACAGCGCAUAGAGUAACUGUUAUGCGUGUGACGGUAUCUAACCAGAAAGCCACGGCUAACUACGUGCCAGCAGCCGCGGUAAUACGUAGGUGGCAAGCGUUGUCCGGAUUUAUUGGGCGUAAAGCGAGCGCAGGCGGUCAAUUAAGUCUGAUGUGAAAGCCCUCGGCUCAACCGGGGAGGGUCAUUGGAAACUGGUUGACUUGAGUGCAGAAGAGGAGAGUGGAAUUCCAUGUGUAGCGGUGAAAUGCGUAGAUAUAUGGAGGAACACCAGUGGCGAAGGCGACUCUCUGGUCUGUAACUGACGCUGAGGCUCGAAAGCGUGGGUAGCAAACAGG
rnacentral:rRNA from 1 species